CUGAGCAGGGGUUACUCCAGGUUAAUUAGUACACUUGGAGCCAAUUAAGAACCUGCCAGAAUGUGUUAAAAGCCUUUCCCCCAGCCAGUUGGGGGUAGGGGGGUGAUAGGCUUUGUGAGAGUGGAGGUGAGCUGUUGGAGAGCUGAGCAGUGCAGAAGCUGAUAUGGACUGGGGAGACCCCCGCAGAACAAGAGGUUUUUAUGUGUGGAUAGGAGGAAGAUUGAGAGCAACACCCAAGUAAGAGCCCGGAUGAACACUGCAGUGAAGCUAUACCACAGUUUCCAGCUUAAAUUCCAGCGGGACAGAAGAAAAGCAAGUAAAUCAGACCAAAAAACUUCACUGCCAAUAUGGAAAUCCCCCAUAUUACCCGAAGUUUGGAAUCUGAGGAGAACAUCUCAUCUGUAUUUCUCCAAACCCAAGUGCAAGCAUACAGCAGAUAGAGCAUGUUUCUUCUUGUGAGACAAAAAUUUCAGAAGAAAGCACAGAUUGCAGAUUAAGAUUUUAUUUAAUGAUUAAUGUUCUCCUCUUUGUUGAAUUUCCAGCAUUUGUUCAUUUUAUUCCAGUUCUGUACCUGUAGCUACAACUUACUAUAAUUCCCAUAACAUCUUUAACCAAGGAUGCACUAAAAAUUCUUCUAGAUCAUUAUUCAAGCUUGUUUAAACCAUUAAUUUUAAUAAUGUAUACACUGCUGUGCAAGUGAAGUGUCAAAUAAUUAGAGAUUUACUACCGGUAAGGGAUUUGGCACCAUCCUUUAUAGAUGACAACUCUGAGGAAUUGUCACAGAUUGAAGUGUCAUUAGAGGAGGUUUUG